AGCCCAGCGUGAAGGCCUUAUCACUCCGGUGUUAAGGCGGUGCCACGUUAGUGACUUGUCAUUGUGCUUUGCUGAAGCUUCAUGAAUGCUUUUGAAUAAGCUUCAUUUUAGCCACAGAGGGUGCAAGCCCCUUGGUGUUGUGGAAGCAAAGCAUGGACUUGUCAUGAUAGAGUCGGGUUGCUUGAGAGUGCAACCUAAAUUAGAUGGUAAGCUCCAUCUAAGGCUAAAUAUCGCUGUGAGACCGAUAGCAAACAAGUACCGUGAGGGAAAGUUGCAAAGAACUUUGAAGAGAGAGUUCAAUAGGACGUGAAACCGUUUGCAGGUAAACAGAUGGACCCACGAAGUCCAGUUGAGCAGGGAAUUCAUAUUUCUUGGCUAGUUUUCUGCUGACUGAUCUCUUCUUCAUGGAGAGCCGGUUGGUAUGAGGGCUGUCGAGUGAUGCAUUUUUCCUGCUCACGAUGGAGCUCUGACUGCUCUUUGACUUUCAUCGUGUAAGGCAGCUCUGGUUUGUGAGAUGUUUCUUAGGAGACGUUUCUACAUCCUGGAGUUCAUGAUGAAGUCAUCGAGCGGGUGAAUUACUUACAUUAGUGAGUGUUCAGGUUGUCGGUGUCUUUGCUUGAGUAGGGUGCGCUGGUCUUUGAAUUUUCGGC
rnacentral:rRNA from 1 species